ensembl:lncRNA
GGAGGAGAUACCCACGAGCAGAGAGAUUCUGAGAGUUAAUGUGAGAAACACACAGCAGCUGGAAGGAAAAGAAACUGACAGACUGCACUCGCCGCCUUGGUGGAAUCCAUCUUUAAGAUGGACCCUAAGGUGGACGUGAUCCUGGCCUUGUACUCUUCCAGCCGCGCCAGGACGUCGUAGCUGUAUACAGUCAGCAGCCAGACGGGGGAUGGCAGAGGUGGAAUCUGCCCCCUUGCCGAGCCCAAGGCCAGGAAUCGCUCGCACACGCUGAGGUACUGGAUCGCUCUCCGCAUCCAGGUGUCCGAGUGCUGCUCCCGCAGGGUGUUGUACAGCUGGUUGGCACUGUUGCGCAGAGUGCGGGACCUCAGCUGUAUCACCACCCUCAUGUCACAGGACAGCCUGCAGAACGCCAACAUCACGUAGAGCUGAGUCUGCACCUCCAACGGGAUGUUCAACACAAAUGGUGAAGAAAUGCCUCCUUACUUGUACGUGAGUACAGCUGGGAACUGGCAGCUAUGGGUGGGGGACAGCUGCCUGAUGAUGCCCUGUGACCACCCUCCGACGUGCUUCUUACAUCGACGGCACUCCAGGUACUCUGUGCCCAUGAGGUACCAGCCGUCGAUGUCCAGGACCCUCCGGAUGGUCCUGUACAGCCCAGCCUUGAUCAAGGACCCAGUGCACAAUGGCUAGGGGCAUGUCAGCUGCAAAUCCGGUGUGGCAUCCAGAGGAACAGCCGACAUGUGAAGAAGGGGUCGGGGGAUGCGGAAGGCUGGUUGUAGACCGGCCGGGAUUGGGGGGGUGCCAACAGAGGUUGAGCUCACCGACGAGCCAAGGCCUCCACUGGCUGUCCCUGGUAAACAGCACCCAUCCGAUCCACUGCUGCCGCUCCACAGUGAGAGCUGCCCUCCAGGACUGAGGCAGCAACUGAAGAUGGAGGGGGAGGGAGGAAGCCUGGACCGGGCAACUCCUCCUGUUCCUCCAUGGCGACGGGUGCAGACGGCGGCUGGAGGCAAGGGAGCCGGUGUCCCUGCAGGCUGAACCACGACAAGGGCUGUAGGAAGUUCCAUCAGGGCGUCUAUCUCCUGCGAGGCUUCCAGCAGCUCCUCGUCUGUGGGCUUGUCCAGCAGAGCAGAGACACCAGCUCCUGGAGGAGGAGGUGCUGCCGAGGAAGAGGAGGUGGCGACGAUCGCAGCGGGUGGUGGCAGGAGUAAAAGAGGGGCCUUUUGCAAGGUAAAAUAAAUGUUUGAGGUAAACGCUUGAGAUUAAGAUGAAUUAUUAUUAAUACUGAGAGACUGACGAAGAGCUGCAUUUACACACCACAAGAGAUCAGGAGGUGGUUUUAAAGAGAGAAAGUCAGGGUGAGAUGAUAACUAGUUAGCCAUGCAGAUGUUGAGCUAGCCAGGCACUGAUGAAAGCACAGUGAAAAAGACAAUGUUAUUUGUAGAGGUGGGUUAUUGAUCCAAGAUGAUCAUCAAAUCGCUGACCCAAAACUUACCAGUCAUCUGCUUUCGUCCUCUGAUCAAGAAACGUUUUAAAGUCAUAUUGAUUGUUGACGCUUUUUUUAGUACUUUGUGAACAAAGUGUUUCCUGUUUAUGACUUUACUCUUUACUUACACGUCUGUCUCCAAGUCAACUACCUCCGUGACCAGCUCUUCAUCUCAAGUCUCCACAGAUGACCGGGGGGAGGACAGAGCUGGUCGGAAGGGGCUGAAGUGGGGGGCUGCAGACACAUGAUGACAGAAGAUAAACCAGGAACACGGGAGCGUAGAUCAAGUGGAACAUCAGUAAAUAACUGAGGCUGGACUGACCUGUAGAUGCAGGCUUAGGGGCCACCAGCUUCUUCACCUGGGCCUGCAUCUCCACAGCAGAUAGAGACAAACACCACAAGCGCUGGACCAAGAGGCCUAUUAUGACACACGAUAAAUGACACGCAACAAUAAUUGAGACAACAUUACAAAAAGCACUUGUGAUGCACUCCUGGCUCUCAGGGUUGCGGGCGAUGCAGAGGCUGCGCUGCUGCUGGAGGCGGUGGAGGAGGUAGAUGCUCCAGCAGCAGCUUUCAUCCUCUGUCUGUCUCUGUUGCGCACAUACUGGACGGCGUUCUCCAUCUGCGUCCCUGGAGCUGGUGACGUCCUCCGGAGGCUCUCCAGGGACUCAAACUUAAAGUCCCCGAAGCCAACAAGGGCCCGUCCCUGCUGACCGGGCUGGAGGGAAUUUGCCCGCGCCUCCUCAAAUGCCCGGUGGAACCUGACUGUCUCCACAAAGUCCUUGUAGGUGGAGGAGUAGCGGGUGAAGGGGUCCUGUGAGGUUACACAGUGAGAUUACACUAUGAGGUUAAAUAUCAUAAUUUCUCUAAUUGUAACUGUCUGAAAGUGUUAUGAAGGACUUAACCUCGUUGGCCAUCAGCGGGGACUGAGCCUCCGUCCUCUGGCGCUCUUUCUGGUGGGAGGCGACCAGAUUGACGCUGUAGCCCACGUCGUUCUCCAAAAGCCAGUGGAAGGUUCUGCCCUGGUAGCGACCCAACUGCACCUUCCACCGGCUCAGGACCAGGGAGGCGUUGGUGGUGUCACCGCCCUCGGUGACAACGAAAGUCCAGGCCUCCGAGUCCACCUCCUCUGGCCUCUUUGCCCUUGACACCUGUCUGUUCCUGCACGUGGGAGGACCACUGGGCACCGCGCACUGUCGAGGAGAUCAUCACCCGGGACCCCCUCCUUCAUCUGCACUCCUCACGCCCACAACACAAAGCGAUAUCCGCGUGUGAUAUCUGCGAUAUCCGCGUGCGCUCCGGUGAAACGGCCCGAUGAGGUCCAUGCCGAUCCGCUCGAACGGAACCUCCACCAACGGUAGAGGACGCAACGGCGCCCUCGGAAUGGCCGGAGCGUUCACUAACUGACACUCCGGGCAGUACGCGCACCGGCGGCGCACGUCCCCCCGGAUGCCUGGCCAAUAAAAUCGGGUCAUUAUCCGGUCUAGUGUUUUCUUGUAUCCCAUGUGACCAGCCAUCGGGUUAUAGUGAGCUGCCUGGAAAAUCAUUUCCCGGCGGCUUUUUGGCACCAGCAACUGAGUGUUUUCCUGCCC